rnacentral:lncRNA from 1 species
ACAGUCUGUUGUUUUACUGCAUCAGCAGUCAGAAGCAUGAGGAUGGCAAUGUGCUAGAUAGGGAGCUCUUUUUAGACGACGUUACCUAUCGUGUUUUUGCUAACGGUAAGAGUGGCCUCGGCAGCGGCAGCCAGGUUUCGGAUUUCUCCGUUCGUUUGCCCCGGUCGUUCCUCUUCCUGCUUGUCAGGCCCUUGGCCUAUCCGUUCAGUUCAAAGCUAAGAACCAUCAAGCCAAAGAACCCUGAGUGGCGCUGUUUUUUUUUUUUAAACAGAGAAGAAGUCGGUGAGUAACAAUUCAGUACGAAGCAUCUACAAGUAGCUAUUACGACGCAUUGAGUGUUUGGCGAAAAGCCCGAGGACGCGAGUAUAACUAAUUUAGUUGCUGGUCAAGCCAGGUUAUGUUGGAUAGUUUGCUGGUCGUCUGCCUGUGAUGUCCUCGUUCUCUCCCAUUUUCGUCUACAAUUUGCUUCCGCAGUUCGAAUAUCAAAGAGUAAUAAUAGCAGUUGGAAGAGAAAACAGGCAAGGAAUGAAAACGAAAAAGAUACUUACUGAACAGCGUGAACAUUGCGCUCGGCCACGGACCAUUUUGAUACGAAAUAGGAAAAGGCACAGAUGAAGAUGACAGAGAACGACGGAGUGGCACCUAGAUACAGCUCAAGCAAAACCUUCAAAUCAUCCUGAAUCUAGAUAUCUCGCUUUGUGUGGAUCAUUGCCACCGCCUUCUGUCGUAAUUGCCUGCCCCUUACAGGGCUAAUGUCGAGGAGAAAAGUGGUUUAGACUGGUAGCAAAGCUGCUACAAGGAUGCUGAAAAGCUACUCAGAGAAAGCAAUUGAUAUAUUUCGUUAGUUUACUUUCAGAUCUGGCCAUACAUCCAUUGUGUGCCCAUUCAAAACGUAAUGCGGUCCGUUUAUUAAAAUUAAGCACUUUUGUUCAAUACGCAACUGAUAAUGUAAAAUAUAAUGCGAUCCUAAUAUUUUCUGAGCUAUUACGAGAAUUACUGCUUUGUCUAAUUCAUUUUUGACAAUCGUUUUAAUAAUACGGAUAUAGUUUUCAUCAGAAUAAUUUGUGUUUAAUGAUUUGAUUACGGGUAUAGGGUGUGCCCACUUCCGGACAAAACAAAAGGCUAUUGAGUCGCCUGCUUAGAUUGAGCCUUAUAGGAACAAUUCUUGACCGCGCUAACUGGACAUUCCGGAUAGGUGCCCCGCUAAUGUAGUCAGAGGAACUAUACUGAUAAUUAUUGUAUACAUGUAGCAAUUUACGUAUUCGAUUUUCCAGUAAUUGAUCUACUUCUCUAUCAUUUUUGGCUGACUGAUACUGGCAAUGAGACUUCGUACGACAAGUGCUGCAGGUUUAGUAAGAAAAUAUUUGUACUAUGUAAAUGAUCCUACAUAACCGGUGGAUCUCGCUUGCCUACUCUAUAUAAUAGCCUCUUGUCGUAGCUUUUCGUCUCAGACUCACUUGAUAAUGCCAUGAACAUAUCAGACAGGUUUAAACAACUGAUGUACGUUUGCAUGCACACAGAGUUAAGGCAUUGCCAGUACGGAAGUACUGGCAAUGCCUUAACAUUGUGCAAUAUGGACCAAGUCGUAUAACGUUGCCACUUCCUCUCAGUAAUACUUCCACUUCUUUCUUAAUUUAGCUCCUAGUUCCUUUAGAAAAGUGUCAGCGACGACUGGUAGCACCGAAAUUUUCACUCCAGCCAGCUAGACACGUUUUCGCAAGAGUGGCGGAAAGAUUGUCACAUAUAAGACGGACACCAGUUUCCUUGGCACCUAUGGAGACUGCCCUAUCUCAGUAAAAACAUUAAAUGAGCCUUAGGUUGAGGUCUGCGGGUCAUGAAAGAGAAAAGGAGAACAAAGGACGAUCAAACCACAAUAUGAUCAUACUGCGAAGGCUCUGCGCGGAGGUAGGAGCGGACAGUUCGCGACGCUGUGUUGCCCUCAAAACGAGGCAGAGAGCACGUCCUAUUAAAAGUAAGCCCGCUCCAGCCUUCUAAGCCGACCAUCUUCACUGCAAUGACCCUUUGAGCGUUUUACUUCUCUAUAUACGUAAACAGAGAGACAGCUUCGUUCUCAAGCUCUGACUACCCUGAACCGCUAUAUUGAUCCCACCACUUAACUCCGAACGCAGUUAAAGCGAGAUUUGCUUUUUAGAAUCUGCUGGUGCUGCUGCCAUGAAGUGGCCAAACAAGGACACUGACAAGAGUCUUCUACAACGAACGCCUUCGAUAUAAACGCAUACAUUUCGAAAGAGCGACUGGAAUCACAUUUGAAGGAGUCGGAGAAGAAGGCCUUUUCCAAGUAAUAUUGGUAGGCAUAAUCGGCUCAUUUCCAUAGCUGCGCUCGCUUAGAGAAGGACAAACGCGUUUUAGCUUCCUUGUCAUAGUCGAGAUGCAGGACGAUGUUACGCAGUCGACCGAACAGUAAAUGCUAUGAUUUGGUCCUAUUCGUUUGCAAAACUUUCAUUGGAGAAAGAACAGCGUACCUGUAAUCUAAACAGAUUGUACAGGUGAUGGCAUUUUAAGUAUACCAAUAAUGAAGCACACUAUAAUUAUCAGGUUGUCUGAAAAGUUCCUGUUUACUUUGUUUUUACUUACUGUUCACUUCCUGUUUUACUUUGUUUUUUUUUCAAUGUUCUGAAAGAAGAACCGUUUUUUGCUGUUUAAACCUAUUCAAAUCACAAAAGAUUGACUUUGCCUUUUCGUUCGAAUAUGGAUACGUUAGGUGAUAGAAACAGCCUUUUAAACAUUCACUAUUCAUCUUAAGCCAACGAGAGCAGCUACUAAAACACAUACGUGUUACAUGUAUGACCAAGCCUUAUAUCUAUCCCUCUGAUAGAUCUGAUCUAUAAAUAUCACCUCUGAAUAUCUGAAACAUAUACUCCAUUCGACUUUUCGAAUCCGGCGAAGGUUAUCUUGAGCACCUUUUGAAACAGAACCUAGACAAACCCCUUCCCAUGUACAGAACAAAUAUCUCGGAUUGUAAAUAGCAAAUAAAGCAUUUAUCAGAAAUUUGUUUUUUUCUCUCUAUACUCGAUGUAUACAAAGCGAGAAAAAUACUUUUCGACAAAUACAACAAAAAACGACAACAAAUCUUGAACAACACAGAAAGAGCGGUUUUCGUAGCGGUCUGUUUUGCCUUGCACUUAAUAAACAAAAAAGAAAAAGGCAUAAGAACAGCAAACUAGGACCGCCACUUCGAAAAAACUAGUAUACUAAGUUAGGUUGUUUAUUCAUGUGAACGUAAUUACAGAUUUUCUUAGGCAUUUUUGUUUUCACUUUAAAAGGGUAAAUAGAACUCAACGAAAGGUCACAGAGAUGAUAUAUUAUAUUUUCAUUAACUGUAUUAGAACAUUAGGUCGUAUACUAGGUUUUGGAGAAAUUGCGACCCGGUGUCGCUGUUGGCGAUCGGUACGUUCGCAUCGUUCCACGAUAUUGUGCGUAAGUAUAAAAAAUUGCUCUACUCUUAGCGUCAAAGACGAUUGCCAAGCGUCUUUAAGAUUUAUCAUGAUCAUCCGAAAAAUGAAUAGGUGAAAAGCUUAGCUGAUUUGAUAUACUCCAGCACUCUGUCAUCCGUCCUUUCUUAUACGGUAAAUAGUCGUCUAAGUGCGAUACCUUAUUCGAUAUUAGGAUGUUCCUAUAUAUGCACACGGAUAAAAUUUGAGACUAUUCUAUUAUCGAACUAUACGCUCAUCUACCUAAACCUGUUUUUGUUGUUUUCGAGUUCGACAGGUCGAACGAUGCUACACGUCGCAGGGACAGGGCAAAUCCCUUCCUCUUUUGAAUGUUCUAUUCGUUUUGAUUCUUUCAGGAUGCUUGUGGUGGCUGAUACAGACUUCAUUCGACGCCUACCAUCCUUGGAGAUGUCAAGCUGUGCGAGCCACCGCUCGCAGUACACCGUUACUGCUAGCGCGACCGCGGUCAUCGCCGCCAUCGGCGUCCGGCCGCCCGAGGCCAUGCCCUUACUCAACCUUAGUCGGGCGGCGACUAACGCGCUUUGUGUCCUUGAGUCACUAAUAGCCAUACGCCAAUACUACUGAGAGAUUCGUAUGUUAUGGAGCCACUAAAUUGCGAGGCUCGACAGGCUUGGCAGUGUCGAUCUUUUCUGAUUCUUCACAAAGCGGGGACUGUUUUACGCCCGAUUAUUCCACCCAUCAACUUGAUACGAAUGGGUGUACUUUUACCCAAUCAGUAACAUGUUCACAAUGUCGCCAAUUACUUACAAAGAUAUUUGUACGUCUG